rnacentral:lncRNA from 1 species
GAGUCCUUCAACCUGCAAACUUCUUUUCAGACAUCAUCCUGCUGAACUGAGCAGUCUUAAAAUACAUCGCGGCGACAACGCCGAUUAUUUGAAGAACCCUGGCUAGACUUACAACUCAAUAGGUGAAACAACAAAGAAAUGAAGGCAACAAGAACCAAAUCACCACCCCAUGACUAAUAAUAAUAUCUGAACACGCUACAAAAUGUGUAACUAUAUUUUCCCUGGGCACCAUGAUGUGGCACCAGCAGGCUGCAAAAGCUCCUUGUCAGGCUAGGGUUGCCGAUCUCGUUGCGGGGAAGACAGCAGGCUCGUGAUGAAACUAAGGACCUUCAAGAGCGGCUGGGGUGGAUGAUUUGGCUCACGCUCCUGCCCGUCUUUAGGCUGCAACUGGUUCAUUUACAGAAUGAGAGACACCUGAAUUAACCUGUUGGGAAAGAAAGCAUGGCUUACAGCUGUUCAGAGUCAUGGCCCGAGAAUUUUUCUAAGCGGCUGAAUAGUGAACACAUCGAUCUGUACCUUGGCCGCUUUGAAGAGUUCGUCGAGCACUUCGGA